UACAGAGGGGGCAAGCGUUGUUCGGAAUUACUGGGCGUAAAGGGCGCGUAGGCGGCCUGUUAAGUCGAACGUGAAAUCCCCGGGCUCAACCCGGGAACUGCGUCCGAUACUGGCAGGCUUGAAUCCGGGAGAGGGAUGCGGAAUUCCAGGUGUAGCGGUGAAAUGCGUAGAUAUCUGGAGGAACACCGGUGGCGAAGGCGGCAUCCUGGACAAGCACUGACACUCAACUGCGAAAGCGUGGGGAGCAAACAGG
rnacentral:rRNA from 1 species